GACGAACCGUCCAAACGUUAUUCGGAAUCACUGGGCUUACAGAGUUCGUAGGCGGUCUGGAAAGUUGGGUGUGAAAUCCCUCGGCCUAACCGAGGAACUGCGCUUGAAACUACCAGACUCGAGGGAGAUAGAGGAAAGCGGAACUGAUGGUGGAGCGGUGAAAUGCGUAGAGAUCAUGAGGAAGACCAGUGGCGAAGGCGGGUCUCUGGACAGUUCCUGACACUGAGACACGAAGGCCAGGGGAGCAAACGGG
rnacentral:rRNA from 1 species